UAAUAUAUGCUUGGAUGAAGAUAGCAUGAAUGUAGAUAAGUCGGUUACGACAAAUCUGUGGAAGGCUAAGUAAAAAAGGGAGAAAGAAAGAGGGGGAGAAAAUUGUGGAUAAUGAGAGGAAAUUUCUCAAUAAUACAAAAAUUGUAGCAAUGUAUAAAUGAAUAGACUUGCUACUGAUAAGCUGGGUAACCAGCGACCCCUCAUCUGACUCUUAUGUAUCAAUUAGACUUUAGGGUAAGGGCCUAAAGUGAUGAUAACGCAUACAGAGAAUUAGGGUUCGAUUCUGGAGAGGGAGCAUGAGAGAUGGCUACCACUUCUAAGGAAGGCAGCAGGCGCGCAAAUUGCCCGAUGUGGAAAUCACGAGGCAGCGAACAUCAAUAACAAUGAGAGACUGAAUAACAGUUUUUCAAUUGGAAUGAGAUAUGAGAAGAGAAAAAAGCGAGAAACAAGU
rnacentral:rRNA from 1 species